AGCAGCCGCGGUAAUUCCAGCUCCAAUAGCGUAUAUUAAAGUUGUUGCAGUUAAAAAGCUCGUAGUUGAAUUUCGGGAUCAGUACGUUGGUCGUGCCUUAGGUACGUACUGGUGUUACUGGUUCCUACCUUCUGACGAACCAUCAUGUCAUUAAUUUGGUGUGGCGGGGAAUCAGGACUGUUACUUUGAAAAAAUUAGAGUGUUUAAAGCAGGCUCGCGCUUGAAUACAUUAGCAUGGAAUAAUGAAAUAGGACGUUGAUCCUAUUUUGUUGGUUUCUUAGGAUUGACGUAAUGAUUAAUAGGGAUAGUUGGGGGCAUUAGUAUUCAAUUGUCAGAGGUGAAAUUCUUGGAUUUAUUGAAGACUAACUACUGCGAAAGCAUUUGCCAAGGAUGUUUUCAUUAAUCAAGAACGAAAGUUAGGGGAUCGAAGACGAUCAGAUA
rnacentral:rRNA from 1 species